UACGAAGGGGGCUAGCGUUGCUCGGAAUCACUGGGCGUAAAGGGUGCGUAGGCGGGUCUUUAAGUCAGGGGUGAAAUCCUGGAGCUCAACUCCAGAACUGCCUUCGAUACUGGCGAUCUCGAGUUCGGGAGAGGUGAGUGGAACUGCGAGUGUAGAGGUGAAAUUCGUAGAUAUUCGGAAGAACACCAGUGGCGAAGGCGGCUCACUGGACUGGUAUUGACGCUGAGGUGCGAAAGCGUGGGGAGCAAACAGG
rnacentral:rRNA from 1 species